rfam:Neolentinus lepideus HHB14362 ss-1 unplaced genomic scaffold NEOLEscaffold_21, whole genome shotgun sequence.
GGCCGGAUAGCCUAGUAGUUAAGGCAUCUCUACCGAAGAUGUGAGGACCCGGAUUCGAAUCCGGUCUCACCU